AACGAACGCUGGCGGCAUGCCUAACACAUGCAAGUCGAACGAGACCUUCGGGUCUAGUGGCGCACGGGUGCGUAACGCGUGGGAACCUGCCCUUAGGUUCGGAAUAACUCCCCGAAAGGGGUGCUAAUACCGGAUAAUGUCUUCGGACCAAAGAUUUAUCGCCUUUGGAUGGGCCCGCGUUGGAUUAGCUAGUUGGUAGGGUAAAAGCCUACCAAGGCGACGAUCCAUAGCUGGUCUGAGAGGAUGAUCAGCCACACUGGGACUGAGACACGGCCCAGACUCCUACGGGAGGCAGCAGUGGGGAAUAUUGGACAAUGGGCGAAAGCCUGAUCCAGCAAUGCCGCGUGAGUGAUGAAGGCCUUAGGGUUGUAAAGCUCUUUGACCCGGGAUGAUAAUGACAGUACCGGGAGAAUAAGCACCGGCUAACUCCGUG
rnacentral:rRNA from 1 species